UACAAAUCUGAAAGAGGCAGAUUCCUUUUUCUUUGGUUGUCUUAAAAAAAUGACUUUGGAUUUUUUCUAAAUGUUAAUUUAUUUUUUUUUUAACUGUGGCUUGAUUCUUUUGUCUUUGAAUAAUUCCAGCCUUGCCAUUUACCGAGUUCUCUUCUAAAUUUAGAUUAGAGUGUUACUCGCUUUCACAAGAAGUGCUAAUAUCCCUUAGGUUAAGGAUAAUUAGAUGUUAAUUUUCAAAACCUGAAAGGAAAUUAUACCUCUAAUUCAUCAUUUAGAAUAAAAUAGCUGGUUUAAAAGGCAUACAUAGCUACAUUAAACAAAGGUCUAGCCAUUUUUUUUUCCUAAACAAAAAUUAACCUCAAUACAAAUUAAGAUGAUAUGAUUCUAGUUAGAUUAAUGACACCAAUUAGGCUAACAGGUUUCUAAAGCUCCCUGAGAUCAUGGGAGAAGAAGGCAGAAGAUCAUCAAAUGCAAAGCAGCGAAUGUCUCCAGCGUUAACCCCUUCACGGCAGCCGAACUUGCUCCCCACUGAUGAGCUGCUGACAACUUGCUCUUCCCCCCAAAAAACUCAGGAGCUGGGUUGGCUCCAUUGGCAUGAGAAAAAAUUAUCCGAAAGGAACUGGGGAGCCUUGGCUGUAUGAAACAAGGGCAAGAAGACUACGCAGUUGGCCGACUACGGUGACCAACACGUUUCACGUGAAAGGAUAAUUUUGCUGGGUUGGACUUAGAUGUUUCCUUGGUCUUCUCAGGUAUUUGCAAACAUUUUCUGCUGAUGUUUCUCAGGCUGAAGUUCUCCAGACCUCCCUACUGAUGUCUGCUUAGCCUGCUGCGGCAUCUCCAGCCUGCUGCGACACCUUUGCAGAGCCUCCCGUUGCAUGUAGCUAUUCAGGGUGAGCCUAUAGCUGCCUACAGGAGCCUAUACAUGCCUCAAGCAAGAGGAAGGGAGAUCUUCCUCCCCAUAUGUUGCCGUUACUGCCUGUGGGAUCAGAAAACCUGGCAGCAAAGCUCAUGGCUCUGAACUGCCGGCGUAAAUUGGUGGUCCCAGUGCUGACAGUGGAGCAAUAAACUGGUGUAAAAUGGGAGGGCAAAGAGAUGGGGGGGGCAGUUCCCUGCCUCCCCUGACUUUUUCAGGAGUUGGAGUGGCAUUGCUUUCUCUUCCCAGCUGUGCUGUCAGACCUUCAGACCCCAACUUUGCUUUCCGACUUGCAGACUCGAGAAGACCACAAGAUGGCAAGGCUGCACCGAACGUGCCCGCGACAGCUACUGCGGGUGCAACAGGUGUUUAUUGGCCAAUUCGCUGUUUGCCACCUGCUUCGACAGAGCCUGAAUUGUAUUUUUAUACAUAGCUUCCAGCAAAAAAAAUGUCCCCAGUGAUGUGAACACUGGCUUCUGGAGUGUUUAGGCACGAUCCCUUUGCAGCACCGGGAAGGGGCAUAUGAUUCUUAUGAGUUCUCUGGAGCCUUUCAAUAUACCCAGAUCCAUAUGUAAAUAUAGCUUGAGAUGAGAUUUAUAUUCAGCUAUUUCCCGGUGAAGCCAACAGACACUCGCAGGCAUGUUACAAAUGAAACAACAACCCAACCAAGCCUUGUAAUUUAAUUUAACUGCCUCUUUUUGGGUAUGUGUCAUGCAUUCAGAAUUAGACAACUGAAUUCCCAAUCAAGUGUUCUUUGGAUAUAACAACAUAGUGAAAGGCAUAAAAGUGCCUUAAAAUAGCUUGCUAACGACCACGUGGAACCUAUUCUUUUGGCAAAAGGAGGACGCAAUUUAUGGGUCUGGACUCAGUACUCAUAAAUAAGUACAUGUUCCUUUUUCUUUGCAUUGGCACGUUUUUGGCUUUUCAGAUUCACCGUGCACUUUAUAAAUUCUCAUAUAACUAUGCAGGCAGUCGAUGGGAAUGCACAGGCUUGUUCUGGGGACUUGAAUUUAUCCCCUUUGAACCGUCUGACACAAGUUCUCUGUUAGCCUUGCAAGGAAAUUCCUCUUGGGCUGGGUUUGCAAAGUUUUCCUGCAAAUCCUGUUCUGCUUUAGCAUCCUGAGACCAGACAAGCUGCUUGUUUUACUGAACCUGUUCUGAAUAUUGUUUUCCUUAACGGCAGCAGUUAAAGGGAACAGUAAUUUUAGUUUCUUGCCUCCACAUCUUGUGAUAUUUGGUAGCAGCAAAAUGCCUUUCUUGGAGUAGGUAAGUAGUAGUGUUGAGUCUGGAGUGGAGGAAGGACAGGCAGAACAGAAGAAACACAGUCUGGUGAUUAAAUGCAGCUGCCUCGGUGGUGCCUGAACUGAGCACUGAAAAAAACAGGCUGAAGAGAUCUUGUAUUCCGUGAUUAUGCUCCGGUGGGAUUCUGCAGGAUUAAUACUGAAAGUGAACAAGGGUCAAUUUUCUGAAAGUGUAGAGAAAUGUAAGACCGACGGAAUAGGAAUAGGAAUAGAAGUAGGAAUGGGAGUAAGAGUAAGAGCAGGAAUAGGAAUAAUAAUAACAGUAGAUGAUAAUAAUGAUAACAAGGGUCAGUUUUCUGAAAGUGUAGAGAUAUGUAAGGUCAAUGGAAUAGGAAUAGGAGUAGGAAUGGGAGUAAGAGUAGGAGUAGGAAUAGGAAUAUUAAUAACAAUGAUGAUAAUAAUGAUAAUAAUAAUGAUAACAACAACAACAACAAUACUAAUAAUAUUAUUAAUAAUAAAUCAUCAUCAUCAUCCCCAAACCAAAUAAACCCAUCCCUCUCUGAGAUGGAUCUCUCUCUGGGUUUUUGACAAUUUUAAUUUGAGGUCGGUUGACGCGCUGGAUAGUGUAAUAUGUAAUGAAAAGGCUGGUUUCUGUAAAAAAAUCCACCAUAUGUUAAAACCUCUGCAGUGGGUGUGAGGACUUAAAAGCUUGAAUACAAACAAAAAGCUGCAGGGUUUGGGUGUGUUUUAGGAAAAGGUGGCUUUUUAUAGCGUUGUCUGUCUUCUCCCUGCGCGCCAGAACAUCUCUUUCAGAAACAGCUUUCAGAAGGGGAAGCAGCUCCCCAUGAGAUCACCUGUCCGUUAUUCCUUUGGAGUGCAGGUACGGGAUACAGUUGGACUGGGCAUCCUCAGACUAUGAAAACCACUGAAAGAAUUCCACCCUUUUCCAAAAUAGCUGAUUUUCUCUAAUUUUUAGGAUUAAAACUAAAUUUAAAAAAAAAUGUUCGAAGGGGUUUGUUGUCUUUUGCCUAGGGUGGGGGUGGAAUUAGUGACCCCUGGGUUUGAUAAUACUGCCUGUAACCAACAGAUUGGUUUUCUCCUCCCUUUUCCAAGUGCUCAAGGAAAGAAAUGCUUUUAAAACCAAAGACUCCCUGGUAAUACUCUUCCUGCAUGCCCCCUCCUCCACUACAUCUCCGGAUAUAGCACCAUUAGUUUGAGAUUUUUAUGACUCUCAGGGGAAACGCAGAACAUUCCUGAAACUGAAGUAGCAUUUUGGAGUCCCUGAGCCGGAGUUCAGACAGCGCGGUCUCUCUCAAGGAUAAAUCAUGGAAGCUGCCAACACAGGGGAGAUGUGGUUUAAGAGGCAUGGGGACAAUAAACAUCAAUACUAUUACUAGAUUCACUAAUAAAUAGUAAAUGUUUCACCUCAAAGUAGCGGAGUGUGAUUUCCAGCAGCAACUUGAUGAUAAAGAAGCGUCACGACUGAAGGUAAAGAGUGUUAACAAAAAACUGACUUGUCACGAAGGCUUCAUUUGCUGCCAGCUGCCUCCAUCCCAGCAGCUAUAAUGAGAAAAAAAACGACCAGUAAACGAACAGGCAGCAGCUCUUCAGCCUUAUGUCAACACCAACCAACACAAUGCGAUGGCGGAUGUUAAUAAAAAAAGACUAUUGAGUAGUAAAAAAAAGUCAACCAAUGAAACAAAACAAGCUCUGGUACCACAGAGCCUUAGCUGGGCUGAAAAGCUGCCGUGGAUUUCAUGGAGUAGGAGAGGAAUUUCUGCAGUUUUCAUCCCUGAAGAGCUGUUAUGGUUAAAAAGUCAGGGGUGUUUGAGAGGUAUUUGAGGGGAGGGAAAUACUGUGCUAGGCAGAGAAUGCGUUGCUGUGUCCGUAAACACUUCACUCCUCUAAAUUAUUGCUGCUGGGUAGGUUAACACGAACACUGGGCAGAAGGUGGGUUUAGCGUUCAGCAUCAUGGGUUGUUACCUCCUAGCUGUCACCUCCCCUUUCCACCAUAUAGGCUGGCACUAAUACUAUAUAUGUUAUAUGUACCUAAGCCUGCCCAGCCCUAGGUGCUCUCCUGGCAAACCCGUUUUCUGUGAGCUGAAGCGUGUGCAGCUGAUGAAGGAAAAUGAAAUGUGAAAACACCGUCUCCUCAGCAUCGCUCAGCAGGGGACUUGUCACUGGUGAAGAAGCAGGAUGCAGCUGCAAAAUCCCCAGUUUUCCACAGCCUUGGCCAGCUCCAUCAGUGGCGAUCUGCUGCUGAAAGGAAAAUCAGGAGUGAAGAAAAAAAAGUCUGGAAUCUGCAAAAUCAGGUUAAGGAGCCAAAGGCCUCCUGCUGGUGAGCUGUGCUGGAGCUGCCGGGGUUCCUUGGUGACUGGCUGCUCAGUAUGGG